rnacentral:tRNA from 1 species
GCGGAGGGAUUUCUAUUAGUGGAGGUGCUAUCGCGGACCUUACUCUUUGCGUCUUCA